GAUGAACGCUGGCGGCGUGCUUAACACAUGCAAGUCGAACGAUGAAGCCGGAGCUUGCUCUGGUGAAUUAGUGGCGAACGGGUGAGUAACACGUGAGUAACCUGCCCUUGACUCUGGGAUAACUGCUAGAAAUGGUAGCUAAUACCGGAUACGACCCUCGGAGGCAUCUCCAGGGGGUGGAAAGAAUUUCGGUCAAGGAUGGACUCGCGGCCUAUCAGCUAGUUGGUGAGGUAACGGCUCACCAAGGCGACGACGGGUAGCCGGCCUGAGAGGGUGACCGGCCACACUGGGACUGAGACACGGCCCAGACUCCUACGGGUGGCAGCAGUGGGGAAUAUUGCACAAUGGGCGCAAGCCUGAUGCAGCAACGCCGCGUGAGGGAUGACGGCCUUCGGGUUGUAAACCUCUUUUAGUAGGGAAGAAGCGAAAGUGACGGUACCUGCAGAAAAAGCACCGGCUAACUACGUGCCAGCAGCCGCAGUAA
rnacentral:rRNA from 1 species